rnacentral:ncRNA from 2 species
UACGUAGGGGGCAAGCGUUGUCCGGAAUCAUUGGGCGUAAAGAGCGUGUAGGCGGUUCGGUAAGUCCGCUGUAAAAGUCCAGGGCUCAACCCUGGAAAGCCGGUGGAAACUGUCGAACUAGAGUCCGGAAGAGGCGAGUGGAAUUCCUGGUGUAGCGGUGAAAUGCGCAGAUAUCAGGAGGAACACCAAUGGCGAAGGCAGCUCGCUGGGACGGUACUGACGCUGAGACGCGAAAGCGUGGGGAGCAAACAGG